UACGAAGGGGGCUAGCGUUGUUCGGAAUUACUGGGCGUAAAGGGCGCGUAGGCGGUGUGUCAAGUCAGGCGUGAAAGCCCCGGGCUUAACCCGGAAAUGGCAUUGGAUACUGCAGAUCUGGAGGAUCGGAGGGGGGACUGGAAUUCUUGGUGUAGCAGUGAAAUGCGUAGAUAUCAAGAGGAACACCAGUGGCGAAGGCGAGUCCCUGGACGAUACCUGACACUGAGGCACGAAAGCUAGGGGAGCAAACAGG
rnacentral:rRNA from 1 species